rnacentral:lncRNA from 1 species
CCAGUUAUUAAUUAAUCAAUACACCCAGUCACUACAAAGAUACAGGUGUUCUUCAUAACUCAGUUGCCGGCGAGGAAUGAAACCGGUCAGGGAUUUCACCAUGAGGCCAAUGGUGACUUUAAAACAAUUACAGAGUUUAAUGGCUGUGAUAGGAGAACACUGAGGAUGGAUCAACAACAUUGUAGUUACUCCACAAUACUAACCUAAAUGACAGAGUGAAAACAAGGAAGCCUGUACAGAAUAAAAAUAUUCCAAAACAUGCAUCCUGUUUGGAAAUCAACUUUGGAGGUUUGUCAGACUGUGUAACGUUGACGCUGUGAGUCGAGAAACAGGUGCAGGUAAAAUGUUUAACAAAACAACAAACAUGAAACAAGACAGCGUAACAGUGGCGAGAUAGCAUGAAAACAGGAAACAAUACCGACUGAGGAAUGAACAUAAGGGAGGGUUGUAUAAAGGUAAUGAGGAAGGUAAUGGAGUCCAGGUGUGAAUCAUGAUGAUCUGCAGCUGUGUGUAAUGAAGGAUGCCAGGUGUGCUAAAUGAAGGAUGCCAGGUGUGCGUAAUGAAGGAUGCCAGGUAAUGAAGGAUGCUAGGUGUGGGUAAUGAUGAUGCCAGGUGUGGGUAAUGAUGAUGCCAGGUGUGUGUAAUGAAGGAUGCCAGGUGUGCAAAAUGAAGGAUGCCAGGUAGCGUAAUGAAGGAUGCCAGGUGUGUGUAAUGAAGGAUGCCAGGUGUGGGUAAUGAUGAUGCCAGGUGCGCGUAAUGAAGGAUGCCAGGUAAUGAAGGAUGCCAGGUGUGCGUAAUGAAGGAUGCCAGGUGUGUGUAAUGAAGGAUGCCAGGUGUGUGUAAUGAUGAAUCCCAGGACCGGUGGUUAGUAUUCUGGCGACGUUGCACGCCGGAGGGGAGGAGCAGGAGUAGACGUGACAGACUGCACUCUUAAAAUUGUUUCAAUCUUUGAAGCAUCUGGCUUGUCCAGUGUUUCCUGCGCAGAGAAAAUAAAGUGUUAUAUCUGCAAAAAUGUACCUCAGCUUCGUCACAGACUGGUCUUCCCUGACUGCCUGACCCUGCUGAGACCCCUGUUACCUUGGUGUACAUUUAUACAUAAUAUUAUCCAAGAAGAGACUCAACGGUUCAAUAAUUGAAAUCACCACUAUUCACAGAUUCCAGACCGUACCUUUAAGCUUAACUUCUCUAGGGCCGGCGGGACGAAAUCGUCCCACCUACGUAACAGCCAGUGGAAUCCUGUGGCGCGUUAUUCAAAUACCUUAGAAAUGCUAUUACUUCAAUUUCUCAAACAUAUGACUAUUUUACACCAUUUUAAAGACAAGACUCUCGUUAAUCUAACCACACUGUCCGAUUUCAAAAAGGCUUUACAACGAAAGCAAAA